rnacentral:rRNA from 1 species
UACGGGGGGGGCAAGCGUUGUUCGGAAUUACUGGCGUAAAGGGCUCGUAGAUGGCCAACUAAGUCAGACGUGAAAUCCCUCGGCUUAACCGGGGAACUGCGUCUGAUACUGGAUGGCUUGAGUUUGGGAGAGGGACGCGGAAUUCCAGGUGUAGCGGUGAAAUGCGUAGAUAUCAGGAAGAACACCAAUGGCGAAAGCAGCUCUCUGGGACGGUACUGACGCUGAGACGCGAAAGCGUGGGGAGCGAACAGG